GAUGAACGCUGGCGGCGUGCCUAAUACAUGCAAGUCGAGCGAACAGAUGAGGAGCUUGCUCCUCUGACGUUAGCGGCGGACGGGUGAGUAACACGUGGAUAACCUACCUAUAAGACUGGGAUAACUUCGGGAAACCGGAGCUAAUACCGGAUAAUAUAUUGAACCGCAUGGUUCAAUAGUGAAAGACGGUUUUGCUGUCACUUAUAGAUGGAUCCGCGCCGCAUUAGCUAGUUGGUAAGGUAACGGCUUACCAAGGCAACGAUGCGUAGCCGACCUGAGAGGGUGAUCGGCCACACUGGAACUGAGACACGGUCCAGACUCCUACGGGAGGCAGCAGUAGGGAAUCUUCCGCAAAGGGCGAAAGCCUGACGGAGCAACGCCGCGUGAGUGAUGAAGGUCUUCGGAUCGUAAAACUCUGUUAUUAGGGAAGAACAAAUGUGUAAGUAACUAUGCACGUCUUGACGGCACCUAAUCAGAAAGCCACGGCUAACUACGUG
rnacentral:rRNA from 1 species